AUGAACGCUGGCGGCGUGCCUAAUACAUGCCAGUCGAGCGAACAGAUGAGGAGCUUGCUCCUCUGACGUUAGCGGCGGACGGGUGAGUAACACGUGGAUAACCUACCUAUAAGACUGGGAUAACUUCGGGAAACCGGAGCUAAUACCGGAUAAUAUAUUGAACCGCAUGGUUCAAUAGUGAAAGACGGUUUUGCUGUCACUUAUAGAUGGAUCCGCGCCGCAUUAGCUAGUUGGUAAGGUAACGGCUUACCAAGGCAACGAUGCGUAGCCGACCUGAGAGGGUGAUCGGCCACACUGGAACUGAGACACGGUCCAGAAUCCUACGGGAGGCAGCAGUAGGGAAUCUUCCACAAUGGGCGAAAGCCUGACGGAGCAACGCCGCGUGAGUGAUGAAGGUCUUCGGAUCGUAAAACUCUGUUAUUAGGGAAGAACAAAUGUGUAAGUAACUAUGCACGUCUUGACGGUACCUAAUCAGAAAGCCACGGCUAACUACGUG
rnacentral:rRNA from 1 species